rnacentral:rRNA from 1 species
AGUCGAGCGGUAGAGAGAAGCUUGCUUCUCUUGAGAGCGGCGGACGGGUGAGUAAUACCUAGGAAUCUGCCUGAUAGUGGGGGAUAACGUUCGGAAACGGACGCUAAUACCGCAUACGUCCUACGGGAGAAAGCAGGGGACCUUCGGGCCUUGCGCUAUCAGAUGAGCCUAGGUCGGAUUAGCUAGUUGGUGAGGUAAUGGCUCACCAAGGCUACGAUCCGUAACUGGUCUGAGAGGAUGAUCAGUCACACUGGAACUGAGACACGGUCCAGACUCCUACGGGAGGCAGCAGUGGGGAAUAUUGGACAAUGGGCGAAAGCCUGAUCCAGCCAUGCCGCGUGUGUGAAGAAGGUCUUCGGAUUGUAAAGCACUUUAAGUUGGGAGGAAGGGCAGUUACCUAAUACGUGAYUGUCUUGACGUUACCGACAGAAUAAGCACCGGCUAACUCUGUGCCAGCAGCCGCGGUAAUACAGAGGGUGCAAGCGUUAAUCGGAAUUACUGGGCGUAAAGCGCGCGUAGGUGGUUUGUUAAGUUGAAUGUGAAAUCCCCGGGCUCAACCUGGGAACUGCAUCCA